CGCGUAGGCGGCAAGGCAAGUCAGGUGUGAAAGCCCCGAGCUUAACUCGGGAAUUGCAUCUGAAACUGCUGUGCUUGAGUUCUGGAGGGGGUAGUGGAAUUCCCAGUGUAGCGGUGAAAUGCGUAGAUAUUGGGAGGAACACCUGCGGCGAAGGCGGCUACCUGGACAGAAACUGACGCUGAGGCGCGAAAGCUAGGGGAGCAACG
rnacentral:rRNA from 1 species